ensembl:ncRNA lncRNA:CR43890 long non-coding RNA:CR43890
CACAAAUGAAACAUUAAAAUAAGUUGGAUAUCAUCUGAGUGUUAGUGUUUGUCUAUUGUGUGCCAUCUGGAGCGACUUGUCUGCACCGCCGGCGAAGCCUUUUCCGCUCAUUCUGUCACGCAGUGUUUGCCGUUCGUAAAUGUUUUUAGUUCGGCUAAAUGCAAUUGUGGCCACUUCUUGCACUCCCUGCACUUCCUGCCAACGCACGUGGCCCACUCGACUGCCUUCAAUUGCCAGACGGGGCGUAUACGCAAUUUAAAGAGCUCUUUAAGUAUGAGUGCGAUAAUUGUCGCUUU